UGCUAAGAAAGCAGUUGGCGCUUGAAUAUGACGAUGACGUCACCACCACUAUAAAUACGUCCCUCCGUCUCCGUCACAUCCUCUUUCCGCUACUCUUCUCACUUUGAGGAAUCUCUCCACAAGAUGAGAGCCAAGUGGAGGAAGAAGCGUAUGCGCAGGCUGAAGCGUAAAAGGCGAAAGAUGAGGCAGAGGUCCAAGUAAGCCCUCAUCCCUGCCAGCUGUCAUCCUGUCAGAGCCUCUCCAGAUGACGGACGCAUGUAGCUGAACUGGAGCCUCCAACUGUGGAACAUAGGCCUAAACCCGGAGCCUGCUGUGAAUGUCUGACUGGAAGAGGCAAAGACGCUGGAUGAUCUCACAACAUCAGAACUGCAGCUGCUUCGUUCACGGACCAUAACACACCAUUUACUAACAACUGUCAUGUGGUGGUGUGUUGAACAAUAAAUGAACACUGUUAAAACUUUA